GCACCCGUAGCACAACUGGACAGUGCGUCGGCCUACGGAGCCGAAGGUUGCAGGUUCGAAUCCUGCCGGGUGUA
rnacentral:tRNA from 1 species